AUGCAGUUAAGAGAAAUUAUAGGGAACCCAAGUUUUAAGCAUGACUUUUCCUCUUCCCAAUACAAGCAGCCGCGGCGCUACUUUUCCCCUAGGGUUUUCAAAAAUUUCCUUGCCCCUUCUCCCAAACCGGGUCAGCCCUUUGGGCCUUUUAGCCCAAUCCGAUUAUCAUCAUCCCCUUUAUAUUUCAGUAAAGACGUAGUAAUAACAAAUAAGCAAUACAGUUCAAUUGGUAAGACACGUUUGCAGUAA